rnacentral:tRNA from 1 species
UCUGUGGCUCAGAGGCAGAGCAUAUACUUUGCACAUAAAUGAUCCCAGGUUUAAUUCCUGGCAGCAGAA